UACGUAGGGUGCAAGCGUUGUCCGGAAUUAUUGGGCGUAAAGAGCUCGUAGGCGGUUUGUCGCGUCUGCUGUGAAAACGCGAGGCUCAACCUCGCGCCUGCAGUGGGUACGGGCAGACUAGAGUGCGGUAGGGGAGAUUGGAAUUCCUGGUGUAGCGGUGGAAUGCGCAGAUAUCAGGAGGAACACCGGUGGCGAAGGCGGGUCUCUGGGCCGAUACUGACGCUGAGGAGCGAAAGCGUGGGGAGCGAACAGG
rnacentral:rRNA from 1 species